CGGAUCGAAGUCUGCAACCCGACUUCGUGAAGCUGGAUUCGCUAGUAAUCGCGCAUCAGCCAUGGCGCGGUGAAUACGUUCCCGGGCCUUGUACACACCGCCCGUCAAGCCAUGAAAGCCGGGGGUACCUGAAGUACGUAACCGCAAGGAUCGUCCUAGGGUAAAACUGGUAAUUGGGGCUAAGUCGUAACAAGGUACC
rnacentral:rRNA from 1 species